rnacentral:lncRNA from 1 species
UAAAUCUAUAUAACAUGGAGGCAAAAGCAACAGUUAUUGGGAAUUCUCUCGUGGAGCCUUCGAUUCUGGAGCUGGCAAAUAAUCUGCCACUGACAACUGUUCCGCCACGUUAUGUUCGCCCUGAGAUAGACCAUCCCUUGAUUCGCAACGACGAUUCUUCAGCACAACAACUUCCAGUCAUUGACAUGCACACGUUGCUCUCUGGGGAUGACUCAGAGCUUGAGAAGCUUGACUCUGAUACCAAUUGUUGGGAAAAAUUAUCUUUUGAAUUUUUAUAAAACCUUUUGAAGAUCGCUCUCAUAUAAUAUAUAAGAAUUUGUAUUCUAGAAAUCGUACCUUGAAAAUC